rnacentral:rRNA from 1 species
CCUACGGGAGGCAGCAGUGAGGAAUAUUGGUCAAUGGACGAGAGUCUGAACCAGCCAAGUAGCGUGAAGGAUGACUGCCCUAUGGGUUGUAAACUUCUUUUAUAUGGGAAUAAAAUGUUCCACGUGUGUGAUUUUGUAUGUACCAUAUGAAUAAGGAUCGGCUAACUCCGUGCCAGCAGCCGCGGUAAUACGGAGGAUCCGAGCGUUAUCCGGAUUUAUUGGGUUUAAAGGGAGCGUAGGUGGAUUGUUAAGUCAGUUGUGAAAGUUUGCGGCUCAACCGUAAAAUUGCAGUUGAAACUGGGAGUCUUGAGUACAGUAGAGGUGGGCGGAAUUCGUGGUGUAGCGGUGAAAUGCUUAGAUAUCACGAAGAACUCCGAUUGCGAAGGCAGCUCACUGGACCGCAACUGACACUGAGGCUCGAAAGUGUGGGUAUCAAACAGGAUUAGAUACCCCAGUAGUC